GAUGAAGAACGUAGCGAAAUGCGAUAAGUAAUGUGAAUUGCAGAAUUCAGUGAAUCAUCGAAUAUUUGAACGCAUCUUGCGCUCCUUGGUAUUCCUUGGAGCAUGCCUGUUUGAGUAUCAUGAGCAAACCUCAAAGUCAAUUCCUUUUGUUAAUUCAAUUGGUUUUGCUUUGGACUUGGAGGUCUUGCAGAUUUCACAGUCUGCUCCUCUUAAAUGCAUUAGCUGGAUCUCAGUAAUUAUGCUUGGUUACACUCGGCGUGAUAAGUAUCACUCGCUGAGGACACUGUUAAAAAGGUGGCCAGGAAAAUACUGAUUGAACCGCUUCUAACGGUCUAUUAAGUUAGACAAUUACCCUUAAGUUUGAUCUCAAAUCAGGUAGGACUACCCGCUGAACUUAAGCAUAUCAAUAAGCGGAGGA
rnacentral:misc_RNA from 1 species